GAUGAACGCUGGCGGCGUGCUUAACACAUGCAAGUCGAACGAAGCACUUUAUUUGAUUUCCUUCGGGACUGAUUAUUUUGUGACUGAGUGGCGGACGGGUGAGUAACUCGUGGGUAACCUGCCUUGUACAGGGGGAUAACAGUUGGAAACGGCUGCUAAUACCGCAUAAGCGCACAGCAUCGCAUGAUGCAGUGUGAAAAAGUCCGGUGGUAUAAGAUGGACCUGCGUUGGUUUAGCUAGUUGGUGGGGUAACGGCCAACCAAGGCGGCGAUCCAUAGCCGACAUGGGAGGGUGACCGGUCGCAUUGGGACUGAGGCCCGGCCCAAACUCCGACGGAAGGCAGGAGUGGGGAAUAUUGCACAAUGGGCGAAAGCCUGAUGCAGCGACGCCGCGUGAGAGAAGAAGUAUUUCGGUAUGUAAAGCUCUAUCAGCAGGGAAGAUAAUGACGGUACCUGACAAAGAAGCACCGGCUAAAUACGUG
rnacentral:rRNA from 1 species